AGCUCCAAUAGCGUAUAUUAAAGUUGUUGCAGUUAAAAAGCUCGUAGUUGGAUUUCUGGUGGGAGGGAUCGGUCCUGCAUUCUUUGUAGGAACUUGAUCCUCUCCCGCCAUCCUUGGGUGGAUCUUGUCUGGCAUUAAGUUGUCAGGCAGGGGAUGCCCAUCGUUUACUGUGAAAAAAUUAGAGUGUUCAAAGCAGGCUUAUGCCAUUGAAUAUAUUAGCAUGGAAUAAUAAGAUAGGGCCCUGGUACUAUUUUGUUGGUUUGCGUACCGAGGUAAUGAUUAAUAGGGACAGUUGGGGGUAUUUGUAUUCAGUAUUCAGUGGUGAAAUACUUAGACCUACGGAAGACAAACUACUGCGAAAGCAUUUACCAAGGAUGUUUUCA
rnacentral:rRNA from 1 species